rnacentral:tRNA from 1 species
GGGGCUGUAGUUCAGUUGGGAGAACGACGGCUUUGCAAGCCGUAGGUCACCGGUUCGAGCCCGGUCAGCUCCA